CGUGCAGGUGGUUGAUUAAGUCUGAUGUGAAAGCCCACGGCUUAACCGUGGAGGGUCAUUGGAAACUGGUCGACUUGAGUGCAGAAGAGGGAAGUGGAAUUCCAUGUGUAGCGGUGAAAUGCGUAGAGAUAUGGAGGAACACCAGUGGCGAAGGCGGCUUCCUGGUCUGUAACUGACACUGAGGCGCGAAAGCGUGGGAGCAAACA
rnacentral:rRNA from 1 species